rnacentral:lncRNA from 1 species
CUCAUUUUAGUAACUGCUGCCAGAAGCUGAGAAGACGCGCGAACCAGCCACGAAAUCCACUAGUGGAUGUGCAUGCUGUCAUGUAUUCAAAGCUGAACGCUCCUAUCUAUAUAUAUCUCUUGUACUAGACAAUGAAAGGACACAUCUUGCUUGGUUAAAAUUCAGAAUACACAAACUCGUGGAGUUUUGUUUAUGCGUGAGUCUUGAGAGGCUUGCAAAACUUGUUCUUUCGAUUCCUGAGGGAGUUGUAGAACGCCGAACUGCGGUUCAUCCAGUUUGUGCCUUCACGUCUAUACGGCGUGAUUGCGUGGGCUGUUCGUCGGUACGUGGAAGGGUGAUUGUCUCGGUAGUUCGUCGCGUGGACAGCCUCGCGGUGCACUGCCUCUUCACCAGGUCACGCAGCGACAAGUUAUCAAGUUCGCGAAUCCUACGAGAAGAUCGGGCCACAACGACUUGUCUCACGCUAUCCCUAGGCGUGAGCAUAUCAUCUGGUACCAAAGCCUUCGUUUCCUCGGUAGGAUUGUUCUUGAUUUUGGUAGGAUAGAGUUUAAAUACCUACUGUCCACUGAGAGCCAAAAAGAAAACCUACAGCCCAAUUUCAUAUGUGCUACUGAUUUUGUAGUUUGCUUUAUCGAGUUUUAAUCCUUUAAUAUUUGUCUAGUUGCUGAAUUUUUCUUUUCCACAUUGUUCUAGUUAUUAUCUUUGUUCUAAUCAUCAAAUUGCUUGCUGCAUGUACCCAUCCAUCCCACCCUUGAUCUGAUCAUCAUUGCUUGCUGCGUAUAUAUAAACAAAAAAAAAAUACCCACCCAUCCCACCCUUGUUUUCUAACCGCCACAUAUUCCCCACCGCAGUUUCUUGUUUUUGUGCUGCACCAUCCAUCUUAGUGAUCCCCUUUAGUUGAAAGUUGUGCUGCGUUUGACACAGAGGUUAAAAGAAAAGAUGUCUAUGGGUCAAAAGAAGGACUGAAAACGAGUUUUUGUUCCAAAAAAAAAGAGAAAAAAAAGAAAAGCAAGAAAAAAAAAGAAAAACAAAAAGAGAACUGUGUGCAGCACACCAAAAAGGGGUUUGGGCAGCAACAAGUUUUCGGUUGGUGCAAAUUGGUGAUCAUCUAUCCACUUACCACAUCUCAUUCCUUUCUUUGUGCAUCCUUUCCUUUAUAUUCAGCAACUUAGACUUCUGUUCUUGGAUUAUUAUUUGGUUUUGCAUCACUACAUUUCAGUGCAUUCCACUAACAUAUUACCCCACCAAGCUCCACUUAAAGCACCGUGAGUUGUUGCACCGUCGUCGCUGUUACAAUCACUCUUCCCUACAGAUCGCAGCCCCGGUUCUUGCUCUUUUCAGGGAGAGAAAGAACUUGUUUUGUAAGUGGUGAGGGAGUGAUUCCACAUAUAUAUUGUCUUUUUUUUUUCCCUCUACUAACAUGGCAGGACGUGGAGAUGGUGCCGCUGUUUCGGUGGAGGAAUUUCAGGAGUUGCGUACACAAAUGAAUGAUUUGGUGCAGCAGCUCCAAACUCUCCAAUUGAACAUACCACGUCGAGAACCGCCACCAAAUGAGGAUGAUGAUAUUGACGA